UAAGAAGAAACUAAAGUAUAAAACGUAAUCUAAACCUAAAACUUCCACAAUCACAUAAAAAAGAAAAAUACCAUAGUAACACUAACUCAAUAAAAGUUUGGAGCUGAAAAGAGAUCAACAAAGAAGAUUAACUCACCUCAUCUUACUAUAGAAUGUCUUGGCUAGAACAAACAGAUGUAAGAAAAAGGUAAAAAAAAAUGAGACAAAGUAAUCCCCUGAACAGAAAAGAGUGCGAUCAAGCACUAGCGCAAAAAGCCUAAAAAGGGAUAUAAGAAAAAGAAUAAUCAUCGGAAGACCAAAGUCACCAAAAAACAAGAAGACACACCAGAAGCACAACCACCAGUUAAGAGGUAAGAACCACCUCACAAACUAAACAAGCAGAUACAAAAAGAUCAUGCCAGCGAAAAACUACAAAGCUCUGAAUAGAACGAACAAAAACUCCAAAAGACUAACUCCGCACAUCUACAUCCGCACAUCUAUACCAAAGGAAGCAUGAGAAGAAGAGAAACAACCUGAGGGAGAGAGAAUGGAAGCCAAUCACCGAUAACCUAGAGCUCAAGUUGAGACCAGAAACGACCUUCCAAACCCACAGAACAUACACAAAAGAAAACACUAUCCAAACCUGAAUUAGAAAAUAUGGCGAAAGGGAAAGCCACUAGAGACGCGAGCAGUAAUGAAAAGUGCAACGUGAAGAGAGAACAAAGAGGGAAAAGGAGACGAAACGAAAUCACAAAACCAUGGAGCCAUGUUAUCGAGCUAUGAAAAAGAGCAUAGAAGUAAGAUCACCAAAAACCAGAUCUUGAAAACCAAGAUGAGCAGAGACUAUCGACGGCAAGACAACGACGAGGAAGACAAAUGAUAUGUAGUUCCUAACAUUAGCCAAAAUCUAAAGAAGAAGAGGACCAAUAUUGACCGAAAUAGCCUACAACGUCGUGAAAAACAAUCGCACAACUGAGAACUCAUAAGUCUGAUCUAUAACAAAUACCAGAUAAUCUCACAGGAGAGAAUAGGUGAGGAAAAACAAGAGCAUGUAGGUGAGUCUUUCCCCAAUGAUGAUAAGAAGCACCGUCCACCAGAAAGGUAAACAAAAUACAUAGAUGGUGACGGCUCAGGUCAAAAUAUGGAGAGAGGGCAAAAAACAUCUUACAAGAGUAAUGUUAAAAAAUGUGAAAAAUUAAAUAAAAAUUGACGUUGAAACCGUCGAUCUUAGAAUCAAAAAAUGCCUAAAUGCAAAGUUAUUGAAAUUCAAUAUGUUUUACAUUAGAAGCUCAUUUCACCACUAACAAGUAUUAUUAUACAC
rnacentral:lncRNA from 1 species